CCGUUGAAACUAAGCAUAUCAAUAAGCGGAGGAAAAGAAACUACCAAGGAUUCCCCUAGUAACUGCGAGUGAAGCGGGAAAAGCUCAAAUUUAAAAUCUGGUGGCUUUUGGUCAUCCGAGUUGUAAUUUAGAGAAGCGUCUUCCGCGCUGAACCGUGCACAAGUCUCCUGGAAUGGAGCGUCAUAGAGGGUGAGAAUCCCGUCUUUGGCACGGAACAUCAGGGCUUCUGUGAUGCGCUCUCGACGAGUCGAGUUGUUUGGGAAUGCAGCUCAAAAUGGGUGGUGAACUCCAUCUAAAGCUAAAUAUUGGCGAGAGACCGAUAGCGAACAAGUACCGUGAGGGAAAGAUGAAAAGCACUUUGGAAAGAGAGUGAAACAGUACGUGAAAUUGUUGAAAGGGAAACGCUUGAAGUCAGUCGCGUCGACCGAGACUCAGCCUUGCCUUGGCUUGGUGUACUUCUCGGCUGACGGGUCAGCAUCAAUUUUGAUCCUCGGAUAAUGGCAAGGGAAAGGUAGCACCUUUUUAGGUGUGUUAUAGUCCUUCGUCGCAUACGGGGGUUGGGAUUGAGGAACUCAGCACGCACCUCUCGGUGUCGGGGCCGCAUGGCUCACGCUACGUGCUUAGGAUGCUGGCGUAAUGGCUUUAAACGACCCGUCUUGAAACACGGACCAAGGAGUCUAACAUACCCGCGAGUGUUCGGGUGGAAAACCCGUGCGCGUAAUGAAAGUGAAAGUUGGGACCUCUGUCGUGGAGGGCACCGACGCCCGGACCAGACCUUCUGUGACGGCUCUGCGGUAGAGCGUGUAUGUUGGGACCCGAAAGAUGGUGAACUAUGCCUGAAUAGGGUGAAGCCAGAGGAAACUCUGGUGGAGGCUCGUAGCGAUUCUGACGUGCAAAUCGAUCGUCAAAUUUGGGUAUAGGGGCGAAAGACUAAUCGAACCAUCUAGUAGCUGGUUCCUGCCGAUUCUCCCUC
rnacentral:rRNA from 1 species